rnacentral:misc_RNA from 1 species
AGCAGCCGCGGUAAUUCCAGCUCCAAUAGCGUAUAUUAAAGUUGUUGCAGUUAAAAAGCUCGUAGUUGAAUUUCGGGAUCAAUAUGUCGGUCGUGCCUUCGGUACGUACUGGUAUCAUUGGUCUCUCCUCUCUGACGAACCAUGAUGUCAUUAAUUUGGUGUUAUGGGGAGUUAGGACUGUUACUUUGAAAAAAUUAGAGUGUUUAAAGCAGGCUUUAGCUUGAAUACAUUAGCAUGGAAUAAUGAAAUAGGACGUUCGAACCUAUUUUGUUGGUUUCCAGGAUCAACGUAAUGAUUAAUAGGGAUAGUUGGGGGCAUUAGUAUUCAAUUGUCAGAGGUGAAAUUCUUGGAUUUAUUGAAGACUAACUACUGCGAAAGCAUUUGCCAAGGAUGUUUUCAUUAAUCAAGAACGAAAGUUAGGGGAUCGAAGACGAUCAGAUACCGUCGUAGUCUUAACCAUAAACUAUGCCGACUAGGGAUCGGAUGAUGUUAAUUUUUUAAUGACUCAUUCGGCGCCUUA